UUGUUAGCUCAGCUGGUAGAGCAGCGGACUCUUAAUCCGUUGGUCGCGGGUUCGAUCCCCUCACA
rnacentral:tRNA from 2 species